UACGAAGGGUGCAAACGUUGCUCGGAAUCAUUGGGCGUAAAGCGCACGUAGGCGGCUCCGCAAGUCGGAUGUGAAAUCCCUCGGCUCAACCGAGGACGUGCAUCCGAAACUGCAGAGCUUGAGUAUGGAAGAGGGUCGCGGAAUCCCCGGUGUAGAGGUGAAAUUCGUAGAUAUCGGGAGGAACACCAGUGGCGAAGGCGGAGACCUGGGCCGAUACUGACACUGAGGAGCGAAAGCGUGGGGAGCGAACAGG
rnacentral:rRNA from 1 species